GACGAACGCUGGCGGCGUGCUUAACACAUGCAAGUCGAGCGGUAAGGCCCUUUCGGGGGUACACGAGCGGCGAACGGGUGAGUAACACGUGGGUGACCUGCCCUCAGCUCUGGGAUAAGCCUGGGAAACCGGGUCUAAUACCGGAUAUGACUCCAUGACGCAUGUUGUGGGGUGGAAAGCCUUGUGCGGCUGAGGAUGGGCCCGCGGCCUAUCAGCUUGUUGGUGGGGUGAGGCCUACCAAGGCGACGACGGGUAGCCGGCCUGAGAGGGCGACCGGCCACACUGGGACUGAGACACGGCCCAGACUCCUACGGGAGGCAGCAGUGGGGAAUCUUGCGCAACGGGCG
rnacentral:rRNA from 1 species